rnacentral:lncRNA from 1 species
UCUUCCCAGCGACAAUGCAGUACUUCAAGCAAUCAUCAAGCCUCCGCUCAUUCUUCCCAUCGAUGUAACCUUCUGAGCUAAACCCACAGAUCUGUCCACCGAAUCGGGUCGGGAACUUGGAGGUGUCGAACCGAUCAAUCAAGCUGAUUCCACUCUCGCCGGAGAGCAGCUUCUCGUAGUAAGCGUCGACGUCGUUGCCGAAGACGGAGACGAGGCCCAUUCCGGUGAUUACGACCCGUUUCUUCGGGUAUGUUUCGCGUUUGGGGGCGGAGGUUGAUGCAGAGAUGAAUGAGCGUCUUCUCGUGGGUUGUCUCAUAUUUGUGGUGAUGUGGUGAGAUCGGAUUGAGGGUUUUAGGAGUGGGUUUGGUGGAGAGGCGCGGAGAGAUGAAGGGUGAAGAGCUUGCAUGGCGGAUCCGAAGAGAGAGAGAGUGAGAGAGAGGCGAUAAGUACUAUGUUUGUGUGAAAUGGUGUGUGUGUGUGUGUGAGAUGAGCGUUUGUGGAAAGAGGUUUUGGAGUUCGUCAGAUUUGACGAGCAGAUGAUAUUUAACUCAAUUAAUAUUUACAAAUAUUUUAAUUAGUUUUCUUUUAAAGUCCCUUGAUAUUUAUAACUAUUUUAGUUUUGGUCAUAAAGUUAUGUUAUCUUUACAAUUUGGUCUUCAGCUGACGUAUUUCCGUAGACUAGUUAAUAGGGAUGUUGUCGUGGGCUCAUUUCUAAAGGGUUAGCCCGACCCGCAUGAAAAUUUAUAACCCUAAACCCGUAUUUUUUAAUGUGGGUUAAGAAUGGGCCGCCUAAUUUUACGCUAAGGUACCAAUAGGGUUAAUUAUUUCCCAUCUCUCUUUCAGUCAUAUCUUACAACUCGACAUCGAAAUCAAAAUCAAAGGCCGUUCUGAAUCAAAAUCAAAGGUUCUGGGUUUGUUUUAAAUCGAAAUCAAAGGCGAGGGGUUUGUCCUGAAUCGAAAUCGAAGGCCAUAUGUUCUUAUGAAGACGAAAAUGAAAUCGAAGGCUAGGGGUUUGUUCUGAAUCGAAAUCAAUGGCCCAUCUCACAUGGAUCUUCUGAAAACAAAAACGAAAUCAAAGGUAUCUCUCGAUCUUUUGGGUUAUCUUCUCUUAGACUUGUAGACUUCUAGUUGUAUUUGUAGAUGAGUCCUUCCUUAGAUGUUCCCUUUUGACAAUGUAAUGGUGUUAUCAAUGAACUUUGGACUUGAUUUGUAUUGGGUCAGUUCACAGCUGUGAGUUUUAUGAUUUUGGAUUUGAUUUUGAACAGAUUACCAGUGGAACUGAGUAGCUGUGUGUUGAGUCUAAGAGUUGGGUAUUAGUUCUUCAAGGUUAGUCCUUUUCCAUCUCUCAUAAUAGCUUAAGCAAUGAAGAAUACAGUUUCUGCUCUAUAAAAUUUACUCUAUUAAAUGCAAAGCUACUGUGAUCUUAAAGUUCCAAAUAAAAUUGAGACAUAGCUUUCCUAAUCACACUUGUUUGUUACUUGUUUCCAUGGAGAAUCGGUUCUUGUAAUGUGUUAUGUGACUAGCUUCUGUUCUUUCAGUUUUGUUCUGUGUCUAGCUUGUGAAUGUGUGACUGCACUGACUGAGUAUUAAAAGGAAACCGAUAUUAUAUUGCUUUGCUUCAGGAGGACCAAUCCGUUUUAGAAAAGCUAUUGGACAUCUUGGCAUCUUGCACCUGAGCUUGGGAAUCUCGAACAUUUACAAUAUUUGUAAGUCAUCACAUCUUUUGGGAAGCUCGAACAUUUACACUAUAUGAAUAAUAUUUGUUCUUUUUGUUUGUGUCAAUGUCUGAUCUUACAACUCAACUCUCUGUGGUGUAAUUGUCUUGCGUGUGCCUAACUUGUGUUCUCUUAGUGGUUAACUUGUGUUCUUCCAUGUGUUCAAUCAUAUUUGCUUCAAAGAAUCCCAAAGUAAUAAUAUAAUUUUUAUUUUUUUGUUGCAGGCUGCAGCAUGGACUCACAAACAGUACAAAGAAUGGCAGCUCUUGAGGCAGAAAACGAAUUGAUGGACUUGGAGUAUAAUGAAGAUGAAGACUCCCAAGAAGAGGAACAUGAUCUUAGUGUCAAUGAAUCUGCUCACUCAACACAUACUCAACGUCCAAAGAGACACACACACACUCCACGAGCUUCACGAUCUCCACGAGCUCCACGAUCUCCACUAGCUCCACGAUCUCCACGAGCUUCACGAUCUUCACGAGCUCCACGAGCUCUAAGAGCUAAACGGCCUAGACAGGUACGUAAAAAAACUUCUAAGUGUUGGCUACACUUUACAUCGGUAGGCGUAGAGUCUGAUGGUAAAGAAAGGGCUAAGUGUCACUACUGUGGUAUUAAGUUAGUUAUAGAUAGGACUCAUGGAACUUCAACAAUGAAUCGCCAUUCACGCUCUUGUCUAGAAAAACCUGAAACCGAAGUUGUUGAAUAUGAUCCGCAGUUUUCAUGAGAAAACGCGUUUUGCAGUUUUGGCGGGAAAUGCAUUUGAUGAGAAAACACAUUUCCGGUUUUGGUGGGAAAACACGUUUUGUGGUUUUGGCGGGAAAACAUGUUUUUGUGUUUUGGCGGAAAAUUGCAUUUGGGGGGUUUUGGCUUGAAAACGCGUUUUUGUGAUUUUGGCAUGAAAAAACGUCUUUGCGUUUUUUUGCGGGAAAACAUGUUUUUGCCAUUUUGGCGGGAAAACACAUUUUUGCAAUUUUGUCCGGAAUUGCGUUUUAAGGGUUUUGGCGUGAAAAAUUCGUUUUUAGGUUUUCGCGGGAAAAUGCAUUUUUGUGGUUUUGUCAGUUUUAGUGUAUGAUAAAAUGAUAUUAUGUUUAGGUUUGUAAUUUGUGAAUUACAUCAGGGGUAUAAUAGACAUUAUACCAUAUUGAAUGAACCAUCUCCAUUCAAAUGGUCCAAAUUGGUUCAGCUGAAUGGACUUUUAAAUUAAACCUACAUUUCCGAAAGUCAUUCGGAUGAUCCAUCCAAAUGAGUUGUACUUUUAGUGCCUAAACGAACAAAUCUCUCAUCUCCAUCCAGAUGGCUCAUCCGGAUGGAGAAACAAACAGGCCCUAACUUAGAGUUCGUAGAAAAAGCAGAGCCAAAAUCAAUCAGCAAGACACCUUGGCAGAAACAACACCAAAAUUGGAAGGAGUUGAAAAAGAGGCAAAGCAUCUAUCCUCGAAUUAUUGGAGAAGGCCACAUGCAGGAACUAAUGCUCUGGAACUUAUUAUGAGCCACGAGUUCAACCACAAUAAACCAUCAAAGGGAGCCGAAACAACUUUAACAUUCGAACACCCGUGGCCAGAUGCAAGAAAGACGAAAGCUCCUUUUUCCUUUAGAACGAGCCAGAGACUCCAUAAAUAAAGAGUACACUGAAGAAUCUGUUCUCAAGCAUGCAAACUAAGGAAAAGCAAACUCUCCAAGUAAGGUGAAUUCACCACCAGAAGCAAAAAACAAGACACACCAACAAACCAGAAAAGAGCUAAGCCAAUAACCGGAGAAAAAAGAGUACCUUAGACAAGCACAAAAGGCAAAGGAACACUUUCGAAUCGACGAAGGAGACACGGCGAGAAUACGCCGAAAGAGAACCUCGACCCCUGCCAAACUGCUCAUCUCUCCGGAUUUGGAGAACUAGAGUAAAACUGUUUUUUUGAAGAACUCAAGCCAAAACAAACAAAAAUCCACACAAAAAUUAAAAAUAGAAGAGCAGACAGACCAAUGCAGUGGCUGUGGGAGCCAGCGAGUCAUCGGCCGGAAACUAGAUCUGAAGGUUUUUGUAACAUUGUCGGCCAGAAACUGGAUCUAAAGGUUUUUGUUCUGGAGAGAAGGGAGAGCUAUUUGGAGGAGAGAGGAUAGUAUAAACGUAAUGCUUGAUGGACUUGGUUGUUAAAAUCUCCAGUUACACAUUUUCGACAUGUCUAACAAAGAUGAAAACCCCUAAUUGGGUUCAUUCCGACACUAAUACCAUUUGCUACAUGAUUCUUGGUUCUGUUUAUAAAAUUAGGCUAAUAUAAAACGAACUAAAGAUACAACAUUCCGUACACAAAUUGUAGAAGCAAAAUCUGGAUUCUCAACACCUCAAUGACCAAUAAGAGUUGAGCAAAAAUUAACAAUGACCAAUAAAAGUUGAGCAAAAAUUAACAAUGACCAAUAAUAACAAAAAGCUGAAAGGAAGAAAGUGCUCAACUUGUGAACCAAAAAGCUGCGAAGAAGAUGAUGGUGGUGAUCUAACAGAUGGACCAGAGGAUCUAAAGGGUCUGAGGAAAUCAGGGUUUGAAGGCAGAGAAAGCGACCACUGAGUUAUGUCCACCGAACCCAAACGAGUUUGAUAUGGCUGCAACCAAAGAAGAAAUACAGUCACUAUCAUAGAAACCAUUGUCGGUUUAAGACAAUGACAAGAAGGCCGGUCAGUCACUUACCAACAUUCACCUCAUGCUGCUUCUUCUCGUUUGCGACCGUAUCAAAGUCCACUGCUGGUUCUGGGUUCUACAAUGACAAACAGAGUGUUAAUAAUGAUCUAAAAUAAAGAAAGCCACGAGAAAUAGAGAGAUAAUACGUACAAAUUGGUUGAUAGAGGGAUGCAGCCAUCCCGUGUUGAUAGCCUUUAUGGUGGCAAUGGCUUCAAGACCUCCAGCUGCACCGAGGCAGUGACCUAUCAUAGACUGUAACAUGCAUUCACAAAACUAUCAUUACAGGAAAUGCAAAGAAAACCAAUAACAAGAAAUAGCAAUAUUAAGUAGAUGGAGACGAAUCUUGGUGGCAUUGAUUUUGAUCCCUGAAGUGCUCUUGAAUACCUUUUUAAUGGCAUUAAUCUCAGCAAGAUCACCAGCCAGAGUGGAAGUUGCAUGGGCAUUGAUGUAAUUUACCUGGGACAAGAACGUUCAGACAAUCAGCCAUAAAAUUUUGGUAAUAAACUAUAGCAAACUUUGUUACAAACAGCCAUAAAUGUUAGUUACCUCCUCAGGUGAAACACCAGCGUCUUCAAGGCAGCUCUCAAUGCAUGAAGAGACACCAAGCCCAUCAGCUCUUGGAUCAGUCAUAUGAUGAGCAUCGCAGUUAACAGCUCCUCCAAGAUACUCUGCUACAAUUGGAGCACCACGUUUCAUUGCAUGUUCCAAGCUUUCCAUCACCUAUCAGAGCAUAUAAUAAAUCAAUACAAUCCAUGGAAACAACAUUUCACAUGUUUGAGAGUACAUACCAGAACACCAGCUCCUUCACCCAUGACAAACCCAUCUCUCUGUUUAUCCCACGGCCUUGAUGCUGUCUGAGGAUCAUCAUUUCUCUGUGAAAGCGCCCUACAAGCAACAAAACCUCCCAAGCCAAUAGGAAUAAUAGCAGCCUCGGUUCCACCAGCAAUCAUCAUAUCAGCUUCACCACGUCGAAUAUGGUUCGCAGCGGCGUAAAAGCAGUAGUUAGAAGUGGCACACGCCGUCGAGAUCGAGUAGUUAGGACCCAUAAGACCAAGAUCAAUCGCCAGCAAAGCAGAACCCAUGUUUGUAAUAGCAUAAGGAAUAAAAAACGGAGAAAUCCUCCUGUGACCUUUCUCAAUAAGAGCUUGUACACCGUCUGAAAACACAGUCAAGCCACCCAUAGCAGUCCCAACUAGUACUCCAGCUCUCCGCUUAUCAAUCUACAACAAGUUGGAAACUUUGGUUAAACCCAUCAAAGAUAAAUCAACCCCUUGAGUAAAGACAUGAACUUUAAACUGAAUCAGUCUUAAAGAUUUGAACUUUGAUCAAUUAACAAGAACACCCACAAGUUGAAAACUUUGGUUAAACCCAUCAAAGAGAACCCAACCCUCAUGGCUAAAGACAUGAACUUUAAACUGAAUCAGUCUUAAGGAUUUGAUUUAUGAUCAAUCCAAGAGAGUAGUACCGUGUUAAGCUUAUCACCACCAAGAUUUGCACUUUCAAGAGCCUUCUUCCCAGCGACAAUGCAGUACUUCAAGCAAUCAUCAAGCCUCCGCUCAUUCUUCCCAUCGAUGUAACCUUCUGAGCUAAACCCACAGAUCUGUCCACCGAAUCGGGUCGGGAACUUGGAGGUGUCGAACCGAUCAAUCAAGCUGAUUCCACUCUCGCCGGAGAGCAGCUUCUCGUAGUAAGCGUCGACGUCGUUGCCGAAGACGGAGACGAGGCCCAUUCCGGUGAUUACGACCCGUUUCUUCGGGUAUGUUUCGCGUUUGGGGGCGGAGGUUGAUGCAGAGAUGAAUGAGCGUCUUCUCGUGGGUUGUCUCAUAUUUGUGGUGAUGUGGUGAGAUCGGAUUGAGGGUUUUAGGAGUGGGUUUGGUGGAGAGGCGCGGAGAGAUGAAGGGUGAAGAGCUUGCAUGGCGGAUCCGAAGAGAGAGAGAGUGAGAGAGAGGCGAUAAGUACUAUGUUUGUGUGAAAUGGUGUGUGUGUGUGUGUGAGAUGAGCGUUUGUGGAAAGAGGUUUUGGAGUUCGUCAGAUUUGACGAGCAGAUGAUAUUUAACUCAAUUAAUAUUUACAAAUAUUUUAAUUAGUUUUCUUUUAAAGUCCCUUGAUAUUUAUAACUAUUUUAGUUUUGGUCAUAAAGUUAUGUUAUCUUUACAAUUUGGUCUUCAGCUGACGUAUUUCCGUAGACUAGUUAAUAGGGAUGUUGUCGUGGGCUCAUUUCUAAAGGGUUAGCCCGACCCGCAUGAAAAUUUAUAACCCUAAACCCGUAUUUUUUAAUGUGGGUUAAGAAUGGGCCGCCUAAUUUUACGCUAAGGUACCAAUAGGGUUAAUUAUUUCCCAUCUCUCUUUCAGUCAUAUCUUACAACUCGACAUCGAAAUCAAAAUCAAAGGCCGUUCUGAAUCAAAAUCAAAGGUUCUGGGUUUGUUUUAAAUCGAAAUCAAAGGCGAGGGGUUUGUCCUGAAUCGAAAUCGAAGGCCAUAUGUUCUUAUGAAGACGAAAAUGAAAUCGAAGGCUAGGGGUUUGUUCUGAAUCGAAAUCAAUGGCCCAUCUCACAUGGAUCUUCUGAAAACAAAAACGAAAUCAAAGGUAUCUCUCGAUCUUUUGGGUUAUCUUCUCUUAGACUUGUAGACUUCUAGUUGUAUUUGUAGAUGAGUCCUUCCUUAGAUGUUCCCUUUUGACAAUGUAAUGGUGUUAUCAAUGAACUUUGGACUUGAUUUGUAUUGGGUCAGUUCACAGCUGUGAGUUUUAUGAUUUUGGAUUUGAUUUUGAACAGAUUACCAGUGGAACUGAGUAGCUGUGUGUUGAGUCUAAGAGUUGGGUAUUAGUUCUUCAAGGUUAGUCCUUUUCCAUCUCUCAUAAUAGCUUAAGCAAUGAAGAAUACAGUUUCUGCUCUAUAAAAUUUACUCUAUUAAAUGCAAAGCUACUGUGAUCUUAAAGUUCCAAAUAAAAUUGAGACAUAGCUUUCCUAAUCACACUUGUUUGUUACUUGUUUCCAUGGAGAAUCGGUUCUUGUAAUGUGUUAUGUGACUAGCUUCUGUUCUUUCAGUUUUGUUCUGUGUCUAGCUUGUGAAUGUGUGACUGCACUGACUGAGUAUUAAAAGGAAACCGAUAUUAUAUUGCUUUGCUUCAGGAGGACCAAUCCGUUUUAGAAAAGCUAUUGGACAUCUUGGCAUCUUGCACCUGAGCUUGGGAAUCUCGAACAUUUACAAUAUUUGUAAGUCAUCACAUCUUUUGGGAAGCUCGAACAUUUACACUAUAUGAAUAAUAUUUGUUCUUUUUGUUUGUGUCAAUGUCUGAUCUUACAACUCAACUCUCUGUGGUGUAAUUGUCUUGCGUGUGCCUAACUUGUGUUCUCUUAGUGGUUAACUUGUGUUCUUCCAUGUGUUCAAUCAUAUUUGCUUCAAAGAAUCCCAAAGUAAUAAUAUAAUUUUUAUUUUUUUGUUGCAGGCUGCAGCAUGGACUCACAAACAGUACAAAGAAUGGCAGCUCUUGAGGCAGAAAACGAAUUGAUGGACUUGGAGUAUAAUGAAGAUGAAGACUCCCAAGAAGAGGAACAUGAUCUUAGUGUCAAUGAAUCUGCUCACUCAACACAUACUCAACGUCCAAAGAGACACACACACACUCCACGAGCUUCACGAUCUCCACGAGCUCCACGAUCUCCACUAGCUCCACGAUCUCCACGAGCUUCACGAUCUUCACGAGCUCCACGAGCUCUAAGAGCUAAACGGCCUAGACAGGUACGUAAAAAAACUUCUAAGUGUUGGCUACACUUUACAUCGGUAGGCGUAGAGUCUGAUGGUAAAGAAAGGGCUAAGUGUCACUACUGUGGUAUUAAGUUAGUUAUAGAUAGGACUCAUGGAACUUCAACAAUGAAUCGCCAUUCACGCUCUUGUCUAGAAAAACCUGAAACCGAAGUUGUUGAAUAUGAUCCCAAAGUUGAUAAGGAAAUGGUUUCUGAGAUUAUAAUUUAUCAUGACCUUCCUUUUCGCUAUGUAGAAUACGAAAAGGUUAGGGAGAGAGAUAAAUAUCUUAAUCCAGAAUGUGAGCCUAUAUAACUGAAUCAAUCUUAAAAAUUUGAACUCUGAUCAAUCUACAAGAACACCCACAAGUUGAAAACUUUGAUUAAACCCAUCAAAGAGAAACCAAACCUCAUGACUAAAGACAUGAACUUUAAACUGAAUCAAUCUUAAAAAUUUGAACUUCGAUCAAUCUACAAAAACACCCAAAAGUUGAAAACUUCGAUUAAACCCAUCAAAGAGAAACCAACCUCAUGACUAAAGAUAUGAACUUUAAACUGAAUCAAUCUUAAAAAUUUGAACUCUGAUCAAUCUACAAGAACACCCACAAGUUGAAAACUUUGAUUAAACCCAUCAAAGAGAAACCAAACCUCAUGACUAAAGACAUGAACUUUAAACUGAAUCAAUCUUAAAAAUUUGAACUUCGAUCAAUCUACAAAAACACCCAAAAGUUGAAAACUUCGAUUAAACCCAUCAAAGAGAAACCAACCUCAUGACUAAAGAUAUGAACUUUAAACUGAAUCAAUCUUAAAAAUUUGAACUCUGAUCAAUCUACAAGAACACCCACAAGUUGAAAACUUUGAUUAAACCCAUCAAAGAGAAACCAAACCUCAUGACUAAAGACAUGAACUUUAAACUGAAUCAAUCUUAAAAAUUUGAACUUCGAUCAAUCUACAAAAACACCCAAAAGUUGAAAACUUCGAUUAAACCCAUCAAAGAGAAACCAACCUCAUGACUAAAGAUAUGAACUUUAAACUGAAUCAAUCUUAAAAAUUUGAACUCUGAUCAAUCUACAAGAACACCCACAAGUUGAAAACUUUGAUUAAACCCAUCAAAGAGAAACCAAACCUCAUGACUAAAGACAUGAACUUUAAACUGAAUCAAUCUUAAAAAUUUGAACUUCGAUCAAUCUACAAAAACACCCAAAAGUUGAAAACUUCGAUUAAACCCAUCAAAGAGAAACCAACCUCAUGACUAAAGAUAUGAACUUUAAACUGAAUCAAUCUUAAAAAUUUGAACUCUGAUCAAUCUACAAGAACACCCACAAGUUGAAAACUUUGAUUAAACCCAUCAAAGAGAAACCAAACCUCAUGACUAAAGACAUGAACUUUAAACUGAAUCAGUCUUAAAGAUUUGAACUUUGAUCAAUCUAAAGAGAGUAGUACCGUGUUAAGCUUAUCACCACCAAGAUUUGCACUUUCAAGAGCCUUCUUCCCAGCGACAAUGCAGUACUUCAAGCAAUCAUCAAGCCUCCGCUCAUUCUUCCCAUCGAUGUAACCUUCUGAGCUAAACCCACAGAUCUGUCCACCGAAUCGGGUCGGGAACUUGGAGGUGUCGAACCGAUCAAUCAAGCUGAUUCCACUCUCGCCGGAGAGCAGCUUCUCGUAGUAAGCGUCGACGUCGUUGCCGAAGACGGAGACGAGGCCCAUUCCGGUGAUUACGACCCGUUUCUUCGGGUAUGUUUCGCGUUUGGGGGCGGAGGUUGAUGCAGAGAUGAAUGAGCGUCUUCUCGUGGGUUGUCUCAUAUUUGUGGUGAUGUGGUGAGAUCGGAUUGAGGGUUUUAGGAGUGGGUUUGGUGGAGAGGCGCGGAGAGAUGAAGGGUGAAGAGCUUGCAUGGCGGAUCCGAAGAGAGAGAGAGUGAGAGAGAGGCGAUAAGUACUAUGUUUGUGUGAAAUGGUGUGUGUGUGUGUGUGAGAUGAGCGUUU